UAGGGAAUCUUCCACAAUGGACGAAAGUCUGACGGAGCAACGCCGCGUGAGUGAAGAAGGGUUUCGGCUCGUAAAACUCUGUUGUUAAAGAAGAACAUAUCUGAGAGUAACUGUUCAGGUAUUGACGGUAUUUAACCAGAAGGCCACGGCUAACUACGUGGCAG
rnacentral:rRNA from 1 species